UACGUAGGGGGCAAGCGUUGUCCGGAAUCAUUGGGCGUAAAGAGCGCGUAGGCGGCCCGAUAAGUCCGCUGUGAAAGUCAAGGGCUUAACCCUUGAAUGCCGGUGGAAACUGUCGGGCUAGAGUCCGGAAGAGGCGAGUGGAAUUCCUGGUGUAGCGGUGGAAUGCGCAGAUAUCAGGAGGAACACCAAUAGCGAAGGCAGCUCGCUGGGACGUUACUGACACUAAGGCGCGAAAGCGUGGGGAGCGAACAGG
rnacentral:rRNA from 1 species